UACGGAGGGUGCAAGCGUUAUCCGGAUUCACUGGGUUUAAAGGGUGCGUAGGUGGGUUGGUAAGUCAGUGGUGAAAUCUCCGUGCUUAACAUGGAAACUGCCAUUGAUACUACUGAUCUUGAAUUUUCAGGAGGUAAGCAGAAUAUGUCAUGUAGCGGUGAAAUGCUUAGAUAUGACAUAGAACACCAAUUGCGAAGGCAGCUUACUACAGGAAUAUUGACACUGAUGCACGAAAGCGUGGGGAUCAAACAGG
rnacentral:rRNA from 1 species